rnacentral:rRNA from 1 species
GACGAACGCUGGCGGCGUGCUUAACACAUGCAAGUCGAACGGUGAAGCGCCUUCCUUUUUGGUGGGUGUGGAUGAGUGGCGAACGGGUGAGUAACACGUGAGUAACCUGCCCCCUUCUUCUGGAUAACCGCAUGAAAGUGUGGCUAAUACGGGAUAUUCUGGGUCUGUCGCAUGAUGGGUCUGGGACAGAUAUUGUUUCGGUGGGGGAUGGGCUCGCGGCCUAUCAGCUUGUUGGUGGGGUGAUGGCCUACCAAGGCGGUGACGGGUAGCCGGCCUGAGAGGGUGGACGGUCACACUGGGACUGAGACACGGCCCAGACUCCUACGGGCGGCAGCAGUGGGGAAUAUUGCACAAUGGGCGCAAGCCUGAUGCAGCGACGCCGCGUGAGGGAUGGAGGCCUUCGGGUUGUGAACCUCUUUCGCCAGUGAAGCAGGCCUGCCUCGUUUGUGGGUGGGUUGACGGUAGCUGGAUAAGAAGCGCCGGCUAACUACGUG